rnacentral:rRNA from 1 species
CCCUUAGAUGUUCUGGGCCGCACACGCGCUACACUGAAGGAGGCAGCGUGUACUCCUGGAUCGAAAGAUUUGGGUAACCCGCGAAUCUCCUUCGUGCUAGGGAUUGAGGUUUGCAAUUAUCCUUCAUGAACGAGGAAUUCCCAGUAAGUGCAAGUCAUAAGCUUGCGCUGACUACGUCCCUGCCCUUUGUACACACCGCCCGUCGCUACUACCGAUUGAAUGAUUUAGUGAGGACUUCGGACUGGGACCGAUGCGGCUUUCCGGCUGCGUCGGUAUUCUGGAAAGAUGUCCAAACUGUAUCAUUUAGAGGAAGUAAAAGUCGUAACA